AUUUCAACGAGUAUCCUAAGUUAAUAAUAAUGAUUUCCUUACAUUAUUGUUUAUACAAAAGAAUCUGUCUAAAUACACGCAUAGAACUUUUACACAAUGAAAAGUUGUGACUAACUUAAAAUGCUGGGACUGGAUAGAAGCAUUAGUUUCGUAUGAAUCAUGCGUUGUUUGACUUAAUAAAUUACCCAGAACACUUAGCUGCAGUCAGUACAGGGAAAGUACCGCAAAUUUAAAGAAAAAAUAUCGUGCUUCCACUGAGGAACAAUAUACAAAUAUAUCUUGAUCAGAAUCCAAAUAUACUACUUUAGUAAAAGUAAUAAGAUACCAAUUAUUAAAAUGGGCGAUAAAAGAAAUCUGGACCGCAAUUACAAGAUCAUGAGAAAACAUCCGUUUACAAAAUUACAAUGUAUAAAGGAAUUGUAUAGAAAAAGAACAAGCGCACAAACCUUACUUUUUUAAGUAAGAAAAUUCCAAGGUACUAGAAAAGAAAUCUGGACCGCAACAAGAUCAUGAGAAAGUUAUUAGUCUACAAAAACAACAACGUAAAAAUGGAAAUAUAUAUAUAGAACUAGCACAGAAACCCUACUAUUUAACUACAUUAUAACCUUAAAAGUCAAAAGAUUACAAGGGACGAUAAAAGGAAUCUGGACUGCAACAUAAUCAUGAGAAAAACAUAAGUCUGAAAAAAACGACUAUCUAAAAUUGCUAUUUCCAGAGAGCUACAGCAGUUACUUCUAACUUUAUAGAAAAAAGUAGUAAUAAGAUUCCAAUUGACGAUAAAAGAAAUCUGGACAGCAACAUGACCGUGAGAAAAAACCCAAGUCUACAAAAUCAACAAUCCAAAAGACAAAUUACAAAAUACUACAGACUGAGCAAUACGAAGCCAAUUUGGGAUGAACUUAAAAUGAUCCGGAAGUAAGAAGAUCCUGUCCUACUAGAGGUAUCCGUCGAUUACCUCACUACAAAUGAUUAAAAAAUACGGCAAAGAAGGUUGCCGUAACGAUAACUUAUCUAUAUCCGUGGUCAUCUUUCCCACAGGUAUAUUGUAACGAGUCCCUCAAGCUCUCAUUGUUUCCAUAAAACUUAUGAGGAGACGACUUAAACUUACCAAGACUAAAAUCCACGGUUUAGAAACUUCCUUCAUUGGUAAAACUCUCAAUCAAAUCUCACGUUGCUGUACUUAUUAUACUUUUUUCGUUCAUUGUUCGUACAAAAAUCAGACCGUUAGUUUUCUCAUUCUGAGAUAUGUUUUACAGUUGUUAUUUCAGGACCUUUUUAUAUAUUUUACUAUACGGUAUGGUUUUUUCUCAUUGUUGAAAGUCGUACUGUGACUUAUAUAGUUGUCAACUUCUACGUUAUUUUGUUUCUUCUGUGAGAGUGUUGUCUAAUUGGCAACCAUACCACAUCUUCUUAUUAAAUAGUGAAAUUUGAACACUGCUGGAUGUAUUUCUAUUUCUAUUCAUCUAAUACGUUAAGCCUUUCCCAACUGAUGUUAAUAUAGUUUGUUCUUAUGUUGUAUUGUUACACCACUGUACCAUGUUUUGGGAACGUUAGUGCCUACAAACUAGUUUAAUACCACCCAUUCUUUAUAUGUGCCUGUACCAAAUAAGGAACCUGUUAUUGAGUGGUUGUUCUGUUUUGCUGCUUCUAAAAUUUGUUUAUCGUUUAUAUUUUUGCACAGUUUGUUCGUGUGUUGUUUCGUUGCAGCAUUGUCCCAGGUCAGGGGGAGGCCGGGGUUUUGGCGCUAACUAACCUGUUAUUCAGUGGAUGUCGUUUGUUGUAGCAUUUCAUUUAUGUUUUUUGGUUCAAUAUUUUGAACAUAAAUUAGGACACUAGUUUUCUCGUUUGAAUUGUUUUACAUUUGUCAUUUUUAAGUC
rnacentral:lncRNA from 1 species